GAUGAACGCUGGCGGCGUGCCUAAUACAUGCAAGUCGAGCGAACAGACGAGGAGCUUGCUCCUCUGACGUUAGCGGCGGACGUGUGAGUAACACGUGGAUAACCUACCUAUAAGACUGGGAUACCUUCGGGAAACCGGCUCUAAUUCCGGAUAAUAUAUUAAACCGUCUUGUUCAAUUGUGAAGGACUUUUUUGCUGUCACUUCUCGCUGGAUCCGCGCCGCUUUAGCUAGUUGGUAAGGUCACGGCUUACCAAGGCAAAGAUGCGUAGCCGACCUGAGAGGGUGAUCGGCCAGACUGGAACUGAGACACGGUACAGACGCAUACGGGAGGCAGCAGUAGGGAAUCGGCCGCAAGGGGUGAAAGAUAGACGGAGAAACGCCGCGGGAGGGAGGAGGGUCGUCGGAUCGGAAAACUCUGUUAUUAGGGAAGAACAAAUGUGUAAGUAACAAUGCACGAAUGGAAGGUAACUAAUAAGAAAGGCACGGCUAAAUAAGGG
rnacentral:rRNA from 1 species